CCUACGGGUGGCAGCAGUGAGGAAUAUUGGUCAAUGGGCGCGAGCCUGACCCAGCCAAGUAGCGUGAAGGAUGACUGCCCUACGGGUUGUAAACUUCUUUUAUAGAGGAAUAAAGUGAGGCACGUGUGCCUUUUUGUAUGUACUUUAUGAAUAAGGAUCGGCUAACUCCGUUCCAGCAGCCGCGGUAAUCCGGCGGAUCCGCGCGUUCUCCGGAUUUAUUGGGUUUAAAGGGAGAGUAGAUGGGUUGUUAAGUCAGUUGUGAAAGUUUGCGGCUCAACCGUAAAAUCGCCAUUGAUACUGGCAGUCUGGAGUACAGUUGAGGUAGGCGGAAUUCGUGGUGUAGCGGUGAAAUGCUUAGAUAUCACGAAGAACUCCGAUUGCGAAGGCAGCCUACUA
rnacentral:rRNA from 1 species